GAAUUUUAUAUGUGAUGUAUUUGGGAAGGUUAAUUGAUUUAGAAGGAGAAGUAUAGGUGCAUAUUUAGUUGGGAGGAUUGUUAAAUUAUUUAAACUUUAAUUAUAAUAAUAAAAUAUAAAUUAAUAGUAUUUGAUUAGGAAUGAGUUUUAAGUUAAAAAGGAAUUAAUUACCUUAGGGAUAACAGCGUAAUAGUUUUGGAAAGAUCGUAUUGAUAAAAUUGAUUGC
rnacentral:rRNA from 1 species